rfam:Chloroflexi bacterium RBG_19FT_COMBO_49_13 rbg_19ft_combo_scaffold_1917, whole genome shotgun sequence.
ACCAUAAAAAAUGCUUCGCCCAAGACAGCAGGUGCGUAAAUUACGCUUAAUUACCUGCCGAGGUGAGGAUUUCUCCAAGAUAAGUUAACCGCCAUAAGGCAGGUUAGCAUUUAGGACCGGAGAGUCUUUGCCAGGCACUGGCUGCGAGGCAAAGACUUUUUAUUUGGAAAG